AAAUCAUAAGUGCUCGAUUCUGUAAAGUUGGAAAGAUACAGAAAAGCGUAAUUAUCAUGGCCCCUGUUUAAGGGUGACAUGCAAACUCAUGAAGUAUUUCAUAUUUUU